rnacentral:lncRNA from 1 species
GAGGGCCGGCGUGGGGCCGUGGUUGAGCUGCGCCCCGUUGCUCCCAGCGCCUGAUGCGGAUCUUCGUGAACGACGACCGCCACGUGAUGGCGAAGCACAGCGCCGUGUACCCGACGCAGGAGGAGCUGGAGGCGGUGCAGAACAUGGUGUCCCACACCGAGCGCGCGCUCAAGGCCGUCUCCGAUUGGAUCGACGAGCAGGAGAAGGUCGGCGGCGGGGAGCAGCCCGAGGCCGAGGCCAUGGAGACGGCGGCGGAGGAGGAGAACAAGGAGGGGGGGUAAGGACGUGGCUUCACCACGAAGAUGUGAUGUGCGGCGUUGGGUUCCCCAAGAUGUUCAGCGUGGGGUUCCCUGAGUUGUUCAGUGUUGGGUUCCCUGUGAUGUUCAGCCCUGGUUUCCCUAUGAUGUUCAGUGUUGGGUUCCCCAGGUUGUUCAGUGUUGGGUUCCCUGGGGUCCCUGUAAUGUUCAGUGCUCGGUUCCCCGUGAUGUUCAGCAUUGGGUUCCCCGUAAUGUUCAGCAUUGGUUUCUCUGAGUUGUUCAGCAUUGGGUUCCCCAAGAUGUUCAGCGUUGGGUUCCCUGAGUUGUUCAGUGUUGGGUUCCCUGGGUUCCCCGUGAUGUUCAGCGUUGGGUUCCCUGUGACGUUCAGCGUUGGGUUCCCUGUGAUGUUCAGCGUUGGGUUCCCCGAGUUGUUCAGCGUUGGGUUCCCCGUGAUGUUCAGCAUUGAGUUCCUCAGGUUAUUCAGCGUUGGGUUCCCCAAGUUGUUCAGUGUUGGGUUCCCUGGGUUCCCCGUGAUGUUCAGUGUUGGGUUCCCCGUGAUGUUCAGCGUUGGGUUCCCCGUGAUGUUCAGCGUUGGGUUCCCCGUGAUGUUCAGCGUUGGGUUCCCCGUGAUGUUCAGCGUUGGGUUCCCCGUGAUGUUCAGCGUUGGGUUCCCCGAGUUGUUUAGUGUUGGAUUCCCUGUGAUGUUCAGUGUUGGGUUCCCCGGGUUCCCCGUGAUGUUCAGUGUUGGGUUCCCCGAGUUGUUCAGUGUUGGGUUCCCCAAGAUGUUCAGCAUUGGGUUCCCCAAGAUGUUCAGUGUUGGGUUCCCCAUGAUAUUCAGUGUUGGGUUCCCUGGGUUCCCUGGGUUGUUCAGUGUUGGGUUCUUCGAGUGUUUUUGAAAUGGAGUUCCCCAAGGGCUCUUUGAGCAUUGGGUUCCUCGAGGGGUCUUUGAGGGUUGGGUUCCACGAUGCCUUUGAGGGUUGGGUUCCGCGACGUUUUUGAGUGCUGGGUUUCCCAAGGGGUCUUUGAGCGUUGGGUUCCCUGACAUUUUUGAGUGUUGUGUUCCCCGAGGGGUCUUUGAGUGUUGGGUUCCGUAGCAUCUUCGAGCAUUGGGUUCCCCAAGGGAUCUUUGAGGGUUGAGUUCCCCAAUGUUUUCGAGCAGUGCUUCCCCAAGGGGUCUUUGAAGGCUGGGUUUCCCGAAUGCCUUUGAGCAUUGGG